rnacentral:rRNA from 1 species
UACGUAGGGGGCAAGCGUUGUCCGGAAUCAUUGGGCGUAAAGCGCGUGUAGGCGGCUCGGUAAGUCCGCUCUGAAAGUCCAGGGCUCAACCCUGGGAUGCGGGUGGAUACUGCCGGGCUCGAGUCCGGAAGAGGAGAGUGGAAUUCCCGGUGUAGCGGUGAAAUGCGCAGAUAUCGGGAAGAACACCCGUGGCGAAGGCGGCUCUCUGGGACGGUACUGACGCUGAGACGCGAAAGCGUGGGGAGCGAACAGG